AAUUAAUGUACAUUUUAUUAUUACUAUGUAUGAUAUUUAAAUAUACGUAAAAUAGAAACAAUAUAAUAACUACUUUACAUACAAAUACUAUUACAGGAGGUUUUCUUUUUCUUCUUUCUCUAUUUCCUUUCAUUUCAUACCGAGGUAGAUUGAGUGGCUGAGAUCAACUGAGGUGUGAAGGAGUGAUAGAGUCGAAGGAGAAGGAGUUGAGCUUCCAAAUGCUACAUUUAAGUUUAAGAAUAUAAAGACAUUAUAUAAAAAUAUAAGAUAACUAUUCUUAUUAUAUAAUUAGAAAAUCAAGAAGAAAAUAUGUGUAUUUCUGUAAUGAUUUUACAGGGAUGCAAGAUGCAGAGAAAGAAAAAGAGAGAGAAAAAAGACAGCAAAAGAGAGAAAGAGGGACAGGAAAGUAAAGGCACGAGUAAAAUGCAAAUGACUAUUACUUGAUCUCUUUGGCAGACGAAGCAGGCUGGAAGGUACUUUCUGAACGACGGUUUACUACCUAUUACCGGACGACAAGGUGAUGGCGAUGCUUGCGCAAUUACUCGCCGACUGUUUGACAAUCUACUCGAGGGCAAGAAGGCGAACAGAGAAGAUUGUUUAAAAUAUUUGUCGAGAUGCCCUCGACAGCGAGUGCACUUCUUUCGAUUCAACAUAUUCGACUCUUUAUUGCUCAAUUUCCAUAUGAAUCAAGUAUGUUAUAAAAGUUUGUUCGCUCAAUCGUCUCACAUCAAUAAUUUAUAAAAAUAAGUGGCUCAGAAAACAUCCGUUGCUGUUUUAUUUAUUCGCGGGAACAUUUUUUUUAAUAUUAAAAAAUUAGCAUAAAAAUGUAUAUAUACAUAUAUAUUUGUGUAUUCAACUGUGAUAACCGUACAAAUUUUCCGCAAAUAUAAAAGCCAGCAUGAGAAGCGACAAAAGAAACUUUAUGGAAAGGCGUCACGUAGAGAUAACGCGAGGUGAAAGAGUUGGAUUAAUAUCAAGAUUUAAGGUGUAUGGUAGAUCUCUCGCUGCGGCGCCAGCAACAAUAAUAAGCGUAGCGCACGUGUGCACAAAAGCUCUACAAAUAUUUGUCGGAGUUUGGUAAGACUCUCGAGACAUCUUCCCGUCUUGAAGGAAACGCUCGAGUCUCGCUACGGUACAGUCGCUAGAGACGACACUUUCGUGUUUCCUCUCAGCGAGCAAUUCUUAUCUCUUUUUUUCUUUGUCAUUCAUGCUUUCUUCUAGAAUUCGUUGAAGAUAUUCGCAGCUCGUUAUUGCGCCCCGCGAUAAUCAGCAUUAUAUUUUAACCCUGCGGAUCUUCUUUCGUAUUUUCCGUAUUGUUAUUUCUUUCUUUCUCGCAAUUACGUAUUGAUCAAAGAUAUUUACACACAUGAGAAAUUGUCAUAUUAUUAAAAUCGUAAUAAUCAUGAAUCGUAAAUGUGCAAAAUGCAUGCAAAAUUGCAUUGUUUCGCAAAGUACGCAAGUUUGCUUUUACGGAGCAAGUUUGAGUUGUAAUUUUUUUCUUUUUUCUUCUCUUCUUUUCGUUUAAUAACAUCAUCUUUUUAAAUUAAGCCAAACAAAUAUAUGAGUUCUUACACUCUCCGAUAUUGCAUAUCAGAGAGUGUAAAAAGUCAUAUAUUAGAUAUGUUGUACUUUGCACCUAUCCAUAUUUUAUCAUUUUAUACAUUUCUCAGGUAAACAGGGGUGUGCAGGUUUAAGACCAUCGGUGACUGAAAUUCCUGAAUAUAAGCUUACAGCACGUAGUACAAUAUGUGGUAAAGAGGUUUCUCGUUUAAACAGAUAAGUACAUAAUGCGCCUGAACGAGAAAAAUGCCGAUAGUGACGGAACGUGCGAAUAUGAGAACACAAGGCGUUCAGGUAUAUUCGCAAAAUUAAUAUCGUAUACAAUCCGUUAUGUAAUAUUUUCCACGCAUAAAAUUUAUAAUACUUUCCAUAACAGUUUAUUCAAAGAAUCAAGAUCAAUACGUGAUUUGCAAGAUAGCAGUAAUAAUUUUUUUAAUCAAACUAAUUAACUAAUUGUUUAGCAUAAGCGUUCAUGAAUAAUUAUCACUUCAUCAAAUGUAGGAGCAAACAAAGAACUCUAUUCACAGAUAUUUAAUUUGCGGAAAAUUUUCAAUGGCUUGUAAUUAAAAAAGUAUUAACAAAUCGAUAUUAAGCCGACAACUUUUCUUGUUUACGCGCAUAUAAAUAAACAUGAAUGCGAGAGCGAUUGUUCUAACUUUACGUAAAAAAAUUGCGGAAUUAUACGCAUGGUGAUUAUCUGUGUGUUCUUCAUGAAUUCGGCUUUCAGAGAAUUAAAUCGGUGAAAAAAGAACAUUAUGUUUGAAGAUUUAAACCACCCCAGUGCAAUUAAUUUGGAGUUACGUUUAUGGAACAUUUUGUGCAUCCGCACGCAUACAUCCACACGUGUACGCCCGGCAACGUUACUGUUCUUUCACAAUGAAAUGCCGUUUCAUGCAGCCGUUGCAAACUCCACACGAACCGAUUACUUUGCAAUCGCUAAUGACACGCCGACCGACGAUGGCGUUACAUUAAAAUGCACGUGUAACCAUGUCCGUAAGCGGCUUACGAUGCGUAUACGCGCUCUGCCAUGUCUAUAUUUAAUCGGUGCCUACUACCACGCGAUCGCGCCAACUAAUGAAGUCGAAACUGUAAGAGGAUCAUCAGGGGUGACUGCGCGAAGUAAUCUGAGUGUUUGUAAUAUCUCGGCAGAUCCGGCAAGAAUAAAUCGGGAAAUAAAUCAAACGCUCAAAUCAAUAAGUACCGGCUGUUUCGCCAUCGUAGACAAAUAGUCCUUUAACAAUUUCAUUAUUACGGUAUAGUUGGAAAACUAUCCAUAGAGACCACGCUGCAUUUUUCUUAUUUUUGAUAUUAAAAAAAUAGUCUUUUUGUCUUAGUGGAAAUAAAAAAUGCUGUCAACACAUGUGUGACGAACAUGUCAAAGAUUGUCUUGCUUCAUUUUUCAUUUCUUUAUUUCGUAAUUUGUUACAUAAUUUUAAUUCUUCGCAUUUUGUUAUGUUGGUGAACUUUUGCAGAAGAGUGAUGAAGAUUUCUCAUCUCAAUAUCUAGUCACGUUGCUCCUUUGACGAAUGUUUGACGAUCGGCUGCUUCAAUAUAUAAAUACAUACAUAAAUAAUUAAAGAAUCGAUACAGUAUUUGCAUGGUUGAAUUAACAUGGAUUAUUAAUAACUCGUGUAACUCAUGAUGCGAUGAAUGAUGAUUCAUGUAACAUCAGUGUAUAAUAAUAAUAGUAAUAAUGAUAAUAAUAAUAAUAAGAAUUGUAAUGAUAAUGAUAAUAUAAUAGAAUUAUUAAUAUAAUGUGGUACACAUAUUGUGAAACAUGUGCAACAUA
rnacentral:lncRNA from 1 species